GCGGGGGUGCCCGAGCCUGGCCAAAGGGGCCGGACUUAAGAUCCGGUGCCGCAGGGCUUCGCGGGUUCAAAUCCCGUCCCCCGCACCA
rnacentral:tRNA from 4 species